UAUGUGAUCGUCUCUCGCAUAUCAAUAAGCGGAGGAAAAGAAACUAACAAGGAUUCCCUUAGUAACGGCGAGUGAAGCGGGAAGAGCUCAAAUUUGAAAUCUUCAAGGUUUUACCUUGACGAAUUGUAGUUUAAAGAAGUGUUUUCUGUUGAAGUUUUGGUAAAAGUUCUUUGGAAUAGGACAUCAUAGAGGGUGAGAAUCCCGUAUUUGACCAUUAUUUUCAGCUGUGUGAUACACUUUCAAAGAGUCGGAUUGUUUGGGAAUGCAGUCCAAAAUGGGUGGUAAAUUUCAUCUAAAGCUAAAUAUUGGCGAGAGACCGAUAGCGAACAAGUACCGUGAGGGAAAGAUGAAAAGAACUUUGAAAAGAGAGUUAAACAGUACGUGAAAUUGUCAAAAGGGAAGCGUUUGACACCAGUGUUGUUUUCUCGAAAAUCAAUUAAAAAGAGUUAGAUUUUGUUGUGUAUUGACCUUAACAGCUUGCAUUUCAAUUUUCUUGCUUUUUUUAAUGCACUUUUCGUUUAACAAGUCAACAUCAGUUUCUUUUGUUGUAAAAAGGUCAUUGGAAGGUGGCUUUCUUUUCGGAGAAAGUGUUUAUUAGCCUUUGACUUCCUGCAAUCGGAGAGACUGAGAUCUGCAGCGUAGAUCCUUCGGGGUUAGAUACAUUUGUGCUAAGUUAUAGCUUUUUAUAGACAACUUGUUGACUAUGAUUAGUCUUGUAGCUUACUCGCUUAUGCUAUUUUACCUACGCUUAGGAUGUUGAAGAUGUAGCACAUCAU
rnacentral:rRNA from 1 species